GACAGAGGUCCCGAGCGUUGUUCGGAUUCAUUGGGCGUAAAGGGUGUGUAGGUGGCGCCGUAAGUCGGGUGUGAAAUUUCGGAGCUUAACUCCGAAACUGCAUUCGAUACUGCGGUGCUUGAGGACUGGAGAGGAGACUGGAAUUCAUGGUGUAGCAGUGAAAUGCGUAGAGAUCAUGAGGAAGACCAGUGGCGAAGGCGGGUCUCUGGACAGUUCCUGACACUGAGACACGAAGGCCAGGGGAGCAAACGGG
rnacentral:rRNA from 1 species